CCGCUGAACUUAAGCAUAUCAAUAAGCGGAGGAAAAGAAACCAACCGGGAUUGCCUCAGUAACGGCGAGUGAAGCGGCAAGAGCUCAAAUUUGAAAGCUGGCCCCUUCGGGGUCCGCGUUGUAAUUUGCAGAGGAUGCUUCGGGUGCGGCCCCUGUCUAAGUGCCCUGGAACGGGCCGUCAGAGAGGGUGAGAAUCCCGUCUUGGGCAGGGUGCCCGUGCCCGUGUGAAGCUCCUUCGACGAGUCGAGUUGUUUGGGAAUGCAGCUCUAAAUGGGUGGUAAAUUUCAUCUAAAGCUAAAUACCGGCCGGAGACCGAUAGCGCACAAGUAGAGUGAUCGAAAGAUGAAAAGCACUUUGAAAAGAGAGUUAAACAGCACGUGAAAUUGUUGAAAGGGAAGCGCUUGCGACCAGACUCGGCCCCGGGGUUCAGCCAGCACUCGUGCUGGUGUACUUCCCCGGGGGCGGGCCAGCGUCGGUUUGGGCGGCCGGUCAAAGGCCCCAGGAAUGUAUCGCCCUCCGGGGUUGUCUUAUAGCCUGGGGUGCAAUGCGGCCAGCCCGGACCGAGGAACGCGCUC
rnacentral:rRNA from 1 species